rnacentral:lncRNA from 1 species
AUGGACCUCACGGAGCAGGCUGCAGCCGCACAAGGGGCGGGGCCCUGCACACUGACUCUCCGCGGCCCCGUCUCAGUGCUCUGGACCCCGGAGGGGCCGCAGGGUGGGGGUGGGCUGGGAAGGGGAGGAGAGCUGCUGGCCGAGGAGGUGUCUUUGCGGUGCUGGAGCAGAGGGCUGGGAGGAGGAAGAGGAGAAGGCAGAACAGAGAAGGUUCUCCGCAGGGGAAGAGGAGAGCCAGGAGGGAAGACGACCUGGGAGGGAGAGAAGAGGGACAGAGGUGAGCACGGUGAUGGUGGAGGAGACGGCAGCCUGGCGGGCGGGGGCUCCCAGGGCCCUCUCACUCUUGGCAUCAGGGGUGAGGCCGGCCUCGCGAGGACGCAGGACGGCCCCCCUCGCCCGCCCAAACCCCACCUGCCCUCUGGCCAGGGCUGGGCAAGAACCAGAGGCCCUCUCCGCCCCAGCCCAGCCCGGGGGCACCUGCUCACUACCUUCUCCACCAGCUGCCCCCCAGCCCGCCUCCCACGCGGCUGCACGGUGAUGACGACGCCCUCGGUCAGCCAGUCCUCGGUGGAGGCCCCUGUGGCCCCCACGGCCUCCUCUGCCUCCGGCCGGAUGCCCAGCCGACCCUGCAGCUCGGCGAUGAGCCGCUCCUGGGACGGGGUCCUGCUUAGGGUGGCGGGGUCCAGCCGGCGGCGAGGGGAGGGCUCCCGGGACAUGGGGUGAGCGUGGCCAGUCUCCCGGCUCCUCCUGAUCACCGAGCGGAUCUAGUGGGGAGGCACGCUGUCACAGGCCACUCUGGGCUCAGCGGAGGCGGCUCAGUCCACACUCGGGGGUGGGGGGUCGGGGGGUGCCCCGGAGGGGAGGGCCGGAGGACCCCACCAGCCGGGA